rnacentral:snRNA from 1 species
AUCGCUUCUCGGCCUUUUGGCUAAGAUCAAGUGUAGAAAAUAAGGCAACUUACAUGUGUAUUAGACUCUUUUAAAUUCAAAUUUGAAAGCCUACAAUCAAAAAGAGUUCAAAGAGUUCAUUUUAU